rnacentral:rRNA from 1 species
AUACGUAGGUGACAAGCGUUAUCCGGAUUUACUGGGCGUAAAGGGCGUGUAGGCGGUCUUGCAAGUCAGAAGUGAAAUUCCUGAGCUCAACUCGGGCGCUGCUUCUGAAACUGCGGGACUUGAGUGCUGGAGGGGAUAGCGGAAUUCCUAGUGGAGCGGUAAAGUGCGCAGAUAUUAGGAAGAACACCGGUGGCGAAGGCGGCUAUCUGGACAGUAACUGACGCUGAGGCGCGAAAGCGUGGGGAGCAAACAGGAUUAGAUACCCUGGUAGUCCACACUGUAAACGAUGAAUACUAGGUGUAGGGGGUAUCGACUCCCUCUGUGCCGCAGUUAACACAAUAAGUAUUCCGCCUGGGGAGUACGGCCGCAAGGUCGAAACUCAAAGGAAUUGGCGGGG